rnacentral:rRNA from 1 species
AAUGACUUACAACUUUC